CAACGAGCGCAACCCUGCUGCCAGUUGCAACGGUGAAGCCGGGCACUCUGGCGGGACUGCCAUCGACAAGAUGGAGGAAGGUGGGGAUGACGUCAAGUCAUCAUGGCCCUUAUGUCCAGGGCGACACACGUGCUACAAUGGCCGGCACAGCGGGAAGCGAGGCAGUGAUGCCGAGCGGAUCCCUUAAAGCCGGUCUCAGUUCGGAUUGAAGUCUGCAACUCGACUUCAUGAAGCUGGAAUCGCUAGUAAUCGCAGAUCAGCCAAGCUGCGGUGAAUACGUUCCCGGGCCUU
rnacentral:rRNA from 1 species